rnacentral:rRNA from 1 species
UCCUCUGACGUUAGCGGCGGACGGGUGAGUAACACGUGGAUAACCUACCUAUAAGACUGGGAUAACUUCGGGAAACCGGAGCUAAUACCGGAUAAUAUAUUGAACCGCAUGGUUCAAUAGUGAAAGACGGUUUUGCUGUCACUUAUAGAUGGAUCCGCGCCGCAUUAGCUCAGUUGGUAAGGUAACGGCUUACCAAGGCAACGAUGCGUAGCCGACCUGAGAGGGUGAUCGGCCACACUGGAACUGAGACACGGUCCAGACUCCUACGGGAGGCAGCAGUAGGGAAUCUUCCGCAAUGGGCGAAAGCCUGACGGAGCAACGCCGCGUGAGUGAUGAAGGUCUUCGGAUCGUAAAACUCUGUUAUUAGGGAAGAACAAAUGUGUAAGUAACUAUGCACGUCUUGACGGUACCUAAUCAGAAAGCCACGGCUAACUACGUGCCAGCAGCCGCGGUAAUACGUAGGUGGCAAGCGUUAUCCGGAAUUAUUGGGCGUAAAGCGCGCGUAGGCGGUUUUUUAAGUCUGAUGUGAAAGCCCACGGCUCAACCGUGGAGGGUCAUUGGAAACUGGAAAACUUGAGUGCAGAAGAGGAAAGUGGAAUUCCAUGUGUAGCGGUGAAAUGCGCAGAGAUAUGGAGGAACACCAGUGGCGAAGGCGACUUUCUGGUCUGUAACUGACGCUGAUGUGCGAAAGCGUGGGGAUCAAACAGGAUUAGAUACCCUGGUAGUCCACGCCGUAAACGAUGAGUGCUAAGUGUUAGGGGGUUUCCGCCCCUUAGUGCUGCAGCUAACGCAUUAAGCACUCCGCCUGGGGAGUACGACCGCAAGGUUG